rnacentral:misc_RNA from 1 species
GAAGUGCGACAAGUGUCAUGACUUGCAGAUUCCCGAGAGCUGACAAAUUUCUGAAUGCAAAUGGCGGCCGCUACCUCGGCCAUGUAUUGUAGAGUGUAGUUGUUCAUACUCAUCAUCCCCUAGAAUCAACGCAACGCUCCUCGCGGGCCAAGUGAUGACCUAGGUGGCAUCUGCGCUUGUAACCACAAAUGCGAGCGUCAAAACAAAGAGUGGGAAGGAAGCUUGCCAUGCAAGCUUUCUUUCCUACUUCGAAUGUGAGAGGCACAUCCCGAUGUGUCACCCGAUCCGAAGUAACCAUCAACUCUAUAUUUUGUUUCUAACAUCCACCUCUGCAAUGCAGGAGAACCCGCUGAACUUAA